UCUAUUUUCUUGAAACAAAAAACAAAGACUCUUAUUAAAAAAAAAACGAGAUCAACACUCUGAAAAGUCGCAAUCGAAAAACAUACAGCCCUUCGGAAUGGGUGUAUACAUGCCGAUCAAUAUGUAAUCGGUUUCCUCUUUCUCCUACCUAUAUCUGACCAAGUUAUCUGAUUAAAAAAACAUAAACUAAAUCACUGUAAGUUUGCUUUUUUAGUCCAGCAAAAAUAUCACCAUUCCGUCAAUUUGAAGAACAGAUCUAAUCUUCAAAAACAUGAUUUAUAACCGUGAUGUCCGCACACCUAGACCAAUUCCACGAGAAACUGCCACCUCCCAUUAGCAAUAGGUAAUAGCUUGGAUUAAGGCUAUUACAUGUGCAGGAGGAGUUAACAAAAUAGCAGGAUUAUCAUGCACCGUGCGGAGUUGGGAGCCUUUCUUUGGCAAAGCGACAACUACGGAGUUUGCCUACUGAAAGUUAUGCCGUACGACUAGAUUAUGCAACUUUUUAAAUAGGGACCUGCAAGAGUCAAACAAGGAUGCACAAAUAGGUGAAGGUUGUUUCAAUAGGUGGAUUAUUCAGUUGAGUCCAAUUCUAUUUCAAGAGGCACCAGAUUCCUUGAGUAUGCCAACUGCAGACCAUGAAAAAGGGCAUUGAUUCAAAGAAAAAAAUGUGGUUGAAGAAGUUUAUCUUUUCUGCAAAACCCACAAUCCAGACACCUUGAUCAUUUAUGAUACUACUAACUAAU